GGCAGCAGGGAGAAGACGCUCUCGAGACUUUCUCUGCCACCUCCUCCCUGUGGUGAAGGGAAAAGAGCUGCCAUGGAUCUAGCUAAGGGCGGGGUGUCCUUCGAAGAGGUGGCUGUGCGUUUCACCCGGGGGGAGUGGAGCUUGCUGCGCCCGGCCCAGAGAGCCCUGUACAAGGAAGUCAUGCUGGAGAAUUUUGAAACCGUGGCCUCUCUGGGACCCCCGAUUGCCAAACCUGACCUCAUAUCCUGGCUGGAGGAAGAGGAAGGGCUGUUUCUCCCAUUCUCUGCUGAAGAGG